rnacentral:rRNA from 1 species
GACAGAGGUGCCGAGCGUUAGGCGGAAUCACUGGGCUUAAAGCGUGUGUAGGCGGGUCGUUAAGUGCCUUGUGAAAUCCCACGGCUCAACCGUGGAACUGCUUGGCAUACUGGCGAUCUUGAGCCAGCUAGGGGCGACCGGAACAAACGGUGGAGCGGUGAAAUGCGUAGAUAUCGUUUGGAACGCCAAUGGUGAAAACAGGUCGCUGGGGCUGUGCUGACGCUGAGACACGAAAGCCAGGGGAGCGAACGGG